rnacentral:rRNA from 1 species
AUUAGAGUUUGAUCAUGGCUCAAAUUGAACGCUGGCGGCAUGCUUUACACAUGCAAGUCGAACGGCAGCGCGGGCGGGGGUAACCUCGCCUGGCGGCGAGUGGCGAACGGGUGAGUAAUAUAUCGGAACGUACCCAAGAGUGGGGGAUAACGUAGCGAAAGUUACGCUAAUACCGCAUACGAUCUAUGGAUGAAAGCAGGGGACCUUCGGGCCUUGUGCUCCUGGAGCGGCCGAUAUCUGAUUAGCUAGUUGGUAGGGUAAAGGCCUACCAAGGCGACGAUCAGUAGCUGGUCUGAGAGGAUGAUCAGCCACACUGGGACUGAGACACGGCCCAGACUCCUACGGGAGGCAGCAGUGGGGAAUUUUGGACAAUGGGGGCAACCCUGAUCCAGCCAUGCCGCGUGCGGGAAGAAGGCCUUCGGGUUGUAAACCGCUUUUGGUCGGGAAGAAUGGGCGCCGGAUAACACCUGGCGCUGUUGACGGUACCGGCAGAAUAAGCACCGGCUAACUACGUGCCAGCAGCCGCGGUAAUACGUAGGGUGCGAGCGUUAAUCGGAAUUACUGGGCGUAAAGCGUGCGCAGGCGGUAAGUUAAGUCUGAUGUGAAAGCCCCGGGCUCAACCUGGGAAUGGCAUUGGAAACUGGCUUGCUGGAGUGUGGCAGAGGGGGGUGGAAUUCCGCGUGUAGCAGUGAAAUGCGUAGAGAUGCGGAGGAACACCGAUGGCGAAGGCAGCCCCCUGGGCCAACACUGACGCUCAGGCACGAAAGCGUGGGGAGCAAACAGGAUUAGAUACCCUGAUAGUCCACGCCCUAAACGAUGUCAACUGGGUGUUGGGGAAGCGAUUCCUUGGUACCGUAGCUAACGCGUGAAGUUGACC